CCCAUGUGGUAAUCAUCAAGCCAGUGUAACUUUGCCAGUUUGACCUGAUCCUGAGCUAACCUCCUUUGUUUUUGUCUGAUUCUUGCUAGUACCUGUGAGGUCCUCUUUACCUGGACUUCCAGUAUCUCUCUCUAGAGUUUGUGAACUUUGGAUUAUCACCACUAGACUGUGGUUUGGAUCCUAAAUCUCCCAAACUCCUUCCUCUGUGUGGGCUCUGUUCUGUUCUGGACUGCUCUUAUUGGACUGCCCUUCUAGAUUACCUGACUCCCAAGCCCAAUGGUAAAGAACCUCCCGGUGUUUAUUACCUGUGACCCAAAGAACCCGAGAAGUCUGAAGUACCUCCCUGAGCAUUUCCUACCGGUUUUCUGGUGUGACUUGAAACAUUGACUGUAAAUAAACCGUUGAACCUUUA